AUGCUUACACUGUCUUUUUUACCUGCUGAAUCUGGCAACACUGUCAUUAGGGUGGCUGGGCACCCCAAGGCCGGCCAGCCUUGGACCUCCUUUCUUCUGGUUCAUAACGCCUGUUCCAGGGAUGGUAUUCCAUCAAGCAGGAUAACCGGAGAACAUCCCCUGCGAUUCUUGAUUUAGUGUUGGAGGAAAAAGAUGUGAUUCAUGUCACAGAACUGAGAGAAAGUCAGUCAAUGACUGGCUCAACCAUCUCCUCCUCCACAGGGGCAAGGCUCUCUGUGGAAGCCCAGAAUGAAACUACCUCCUCCAGAGAAACUAGCCAAGAGAUGCAGAGAAAUGGAGCUCCUCCAGCUUCAGCGAUGUCCCUGGAUCCACUCUUCAUGGGAAGCAGUCCCAUCUUUAGCUCCCCAGGUCUUACAUCUUUAAAGCAGCAAGUCUGUCCCCUUCGUGCUCAUUGAGAAUAUCUGAUACCUUCAUGUUUGGACUCAUCCAGCCCCCAUCUCCUCAGUCUAUCUCAGAUCUGACAGUGGAGGCUGCUUUGUCCAGGACCAACCUUUUCUCUUGCCUCAUUUCUGCUAUGCCAGCUGAUGAAGAGCAUGCUAUGCCCUCAGCUUCUUGGACUUCACCCUGGCCCUGGAAGUCUGCCGGAAAUCACUGAAGGUUUCUGUAUUGUUGAAUGAUGCCAUCUGCCUUCCUUUGGGAAGAUAACCUUGUCCUGGGGUUAGGAAGAGGAGGAAGAGCUCUA